AUUGAACGCUGGCGGCAUGCUUUACACAUGCAAGUCGAACGGCAGCACGGGGGCAACCCUGGUGGCGAGUGGCGAACGGGUGGGUAAUGCAUCGGAACGUACCCAGUCGUGGGGGACAACGUAGCGAAAGUUACGCUAAUACCGCAUACGACCUGAGGGUGAAAGCAGGGGAUCGCAAGACCUUGCGCGAUUGGAGCGGCCGAUGUCAGAUUAGGUAGUUGGGGGGGUAAAGGCUCACCAAGGCGACGAUCUGUAGCGGGUCUGAGAGGAUGAUCCGCCACACUGGGACUGAGACACGGCCCAGACUCCUACGGGAGGCAGCAGUGGGGAAUUUUGGACAAUGGGGGCAACCCUGAUCCAGCCAUGCCGCGUGCGGGAAGAAGGCCUUCGGGUUGUAAACCGCUUUCGGACAGAAAGAAAUCGCAUGGGCUAAUACCCUGUGUGGAUGACGGUACUGUAAGAAGAAGCACCGGCUAACUACGUGCCAGCAGCCGCCGUAAAAC
rnacentral:rRNA from 1 species